AUGUUUUCCAGGCUGCUCAGGCUAUGUCAGAAAGAGAAUGGCGAUGAAGGAGAGACAAGACCAAAAAAGAAGGAAGAGGGAAUCCUUUCUCAUGAAAAAGGAAGAAGGAAAUCAUUCUGGAGAAGGCACAGGUCUGCUAGAAAUACUUCAACCCAAAAUUCCAACAUCACAAAUCAGAUAUCAAAUAUAAAUAAAGUAGAAGAACUGAAAUUGCAUAUAAGGAAGACCAGCAAUGAGAGGAAGGAAAUGUGUGGAAUCCUGAAUGUUUACAUGUAUGAGGAUUUAAACUACAGGAUGAACACUGAAUUCAACAUCAUUAAAUCACAACAUGAGAAGACAAUGUUGGAUAUGAAUAAAAUGAUCCAGUCCAUAAUUGGUUCCAUGCAGUACUCCAAGGAACUGAUAGAAGAUAACUAUUCCUACAGCAUUAAGGAGGACCACCUCCUCCGUGAGUGCACUCAACUCAACGAAAAAGUAAGGAUAUUACUGAAUGAGAACAGAAAGCUGCUGGUGGAGCAGGCUGGAACGCAAGUGUCCUGUGAGGAAGAAAGAGGUUCUCUGAGGAGGCCAGCAAGAACAUCUGUGCCUCAAGUGCAAAGGAACAGCAGCUUCCCUAAGUGUGAAACAGUCCAACAGAAACUGGAACAUGGCACAGACCAUGACAUGAUCUCCCUCAAAGAGAAGUGCUGGUGGAAGAGGACUGGGUGUGCACAGGAAAUACACCACUGUUGCCU